AUGGGGUGAGACGGGGACAGGAGGGUGGACCACGGGCCUCCACAGGGCCUGAGCUCCGGCUAUUCUGGGAACCAGAUGGGAGGAGACUGGAGACAGGCAGUGAGAGGCCUGGGACGGCUGGGUCCCCCCCACCCCCGCCUGAUUCCUUUUCUUUUGCUCUGCCCCCUCUCUCUGACCUGCCCUGUCUUUCUUACUGUUCCUCUGUCGCAGUCCCUUCCUCUCUCAGUGGUGCUGGCCCUGUUUAUUUCAUUUCCGGUCAUUGUUCCUGUCUCUGUAUCUCUGUCCAUGGCUGUCUCUGCUGCUUCUCUCUGUGCGGCUCUCUGAGUCUCUCUGCCUUCUCCUCCCUUCUGUCUCCCUCACCAAUCCUGUCCUGAUGCUUGUUCCCCACACUCUGACCUGGCCAUGUGGGGUUUCCAAAGAGGUUCCCCGGCCAAGGUGACGCAUGAGGGGCAUCUCUUUGCCCAAGGAGGUGUCUGCAGAGAGCACAUGGAGAGGCCCGGGGCAGCCCGGGGAAAUGCUGCAGGCCACACGUGGUAGUUGGAGGAGGUGGAGCUAUGACCCAGGGGACUGGAGGAGCUGGCUGAAGGAGCAGGCUGGGGUUGGGGGCACUUUCCAGAGGUGCCUCCCAGGAGCCCUGACUUCACGCUGGUUCUGGGCUCCUGGUGUGUUCAGUGAAGUACUGGCCUGACCUCCUGACCGGCGGCUGCCAGCGGCCUCGGAUGCACCCGACGGAGCCCCUAGCAUGUCGCUGCUCCGGCCGAGCCAGCAGCGGGGGAGGCUGUGUGACCCUGAGGCCACGGCUUUCCCACUUUGGGGCCUCGAGUGCCCAGUCUGCAGUGCGAACCAACGUGCCAUCUUGGAAGGCUCCCGUGUGCAGCUGGGGAUAUGACACGAAGAGAGGCGCAGAGGGGAGAGGAGAGGAGCUUGGGGACAUCAUCCCUCCUACCUUGUACAUUCUCUGGGUCACACCUGUGCCCAAGCUGUGCCCCCUGCCUGAAGCACCUUCCACACUCCUCUUUGCCACUUCAACUCACCCGGGAUUCCAGCCUCCUCCACGAAGUCUUCUGGGAUUCCCUCCUCACCAGCCAAUGAGCACUUUGUCCUCUUUGGGGCCCCCACGAGGCCCCUCUACUGUGAACAGCCUUGGCUGGGGGGCAGGUGCAGCCAAUUACUGAUGAAAUCUCCAAUGACGACAGGUGGAGACUGGAGGACCCUAGCCCUCCCCCAGCUCUCCAGCAUCCCAAGUGCAUGACUCCGGCCCCAAACACUUCCCCAUGGUGCGCCUGUGCCCAGUCCCUUGGCGGUGUCCUCAUCCCCUAAAUCCCGCUGCCUUGUCCCCUACACGGGGUCUCCUGGUUGUGUCUGAAGAGCCCUGGGUAAGUGGGCGGGGCUGGGGGACCCGUGUCCGUAGAGCCAUGAGGCACAGGCGGUGAUCAUGGGGGCAUUGCAGGCAGCGUGAUGUGGGAAUUCUGGGGACGAGACCCACUGGGUAGAACGCCGGGCCCGGGUUGGACCUCUGACCCGCCCUGCGUGCUGUCAGGACCUCUGCACAGACCCUGGGAGGGAGUUGGGGAAGGCGUGGGGCCAGCGCACUCCCUCGAGGGCCGUGUUCGAGGUCCAGGUGCCGGCAUGACGCAGGGCAGAGGCGCGGAACCCUGGGAAGAAAUAAUGUUUUAAUUAAGAGUGGUGUUGGCCUCAGGGCCCUGAGCGUGGACAGGUGGGUAAUCAAUGGCAGCCGCGGGGAGAGCCACGGUCCGACUGCCCUUUGCUGUCGCAGGGAUGGCGCCAGGCGCCCCCGACGCUGCUCAUUCGCUCUCCGAGCCCGAGCGCUGGAGGUUCAGUGUGGGUGACCUGGGUUUCACCUCUGCCUCCGACCCCUCCGGUGCCCCGUCCAAGACCAGGUACCUCGAGACCCCAGUGCCUGUUCCUUGGGGCUCCUUAUAGGGCAGGGCCUCCCCUCCCUCUGUCGUGGCGGGUAAACUGAGGCCUCAGCUGUUUGCAGGGCACCCUUGGGGCCUGCAGAGGGGAAAGGAGCCCAGACCCCUGCUCCUAGCUGGUUUGGGUCUGCCGUCACUUAGCCACAAACACAUACCUGAUAUGCCCCCCAGGGCCCGGCAGGAAGGUGGGGGCACUUGGCGAUCACCCGGUUCCGUUCCUCCGCCCCCACUACCUGCCAGAGUCUGCGUGGCUUCCUUGGCGGGCUUUGACUCACUCUAGACUGAUAACUGCCCCAUGGUGGUAGCCAGGAUUAUGGCCCAUUUUACAGAUGGGGUAUCCAAGGUCAUCUUUCUCUGGGCUGCUGCGCCAGCAGCCCCUGAAUGGAAGGGUCCCAGUCCAUACAGCGUCCUUGAUGGAAGAAGGGGAGGGUUUCCUGCUUCUCCACUGAGGGUGGGGGCAGCUUUUCAGGCCGUUUUGACAUUUAACAAACAUUAUGCAAAUCACAUGCAAAUCACCACCCAUUUCUUAAGCCUGGACAGCCCAGGCGUCCUGAAAUAAUAACGUUGGACCUGUCCGUUGGUGUUUGCUUGGAGGAGGGGUACAGAGCCUCUCCUUCCCCUCCUCCCUUCCAUUCCCCUCCCUUCAUCCUCCCCUCCCUCCCUCCCCAUCCCUCCCUCCCUUCUCCCUUCCUUCUUUCCCUUCUCCUCCGCCUUCCCUUUAUUCCUUUUACUGCUUUUCUUCCUUCACGUGGUUCCUAGAAGGCUUCCCGGUCCCGAGGUGAAUGCAAAACGCGACAAAAGUAGGUCCUAGUGUUCCCGUUUCCCGGAUGAGAUGCAGGGAGGCACGAGUCUGGCCUGACAUCCCAGGGCCACAUGUAGAAAGUGAUGUCCCCCACUGAGUGUCAUCCUGGACCAAAAUGGACAGAGCCUGUGACCCAAGAAGGAAGAUGACAGUGGCUAGAGCAGUCGGGCCGUUGCGUAGGCUCCAGGCCGGGCAGGCCUUGGCAGAGCCCAGACGAAUCAUCCUGGAGGUCUUUGGCUUCGAGUGGUGGGCUGCUUCAAGCUUGGAUCUGGAAAACCCUGGCCUUGAUGGACUGCACUCCUCCAAUCCUGCUUUCUCCUGCUACUCCGUCGGCAUGAUCUUUGAAUUCUGGCCACCGCCAGUUUGCAUGGUCUUUCUUUGGCAAACUCCUGUUCAUCCUUCAAAGCCCAGCUGCAAUGCCCCCUUCUUCGUGCAGUCAUUUCUGAUCCUCCAAGAAGAGCCUCCACUUCCCUCUGGGCUUUGGUUACACUAGAUCUCUCUUUGGUCCAGCCCUGGCCACGUGGGGGCUGCAGCAUCACUGCCCACUCGGCUCAGUUCCAGCACCUACCUGGUUAUGACACACCCCGUGUGGGCUCUGCGGUGCUCCCUGUGGGCCUCUGGGUCCUGCAGCCUCCGGCUCAGACCUGACGACGCAGGGAACUGGAAGGUGUGUUGGUCCUCCCUGCCUGAUGACUCGAGCCUGGGGCCCCAGGGUCACAUCACCGGCUUGGGACCAGGUAUAGAAGGGCCAUCUUUAAGUGCGUUUGAAUAAAAGAUUAAGUGCUUCACAACAAAAUCAAGUUCAAGCCCCCUAACUUGGUCUCCUGUCUUCCCUCUGCCCGGGUGAGCGCCUCUUUCCACGUGCAGGCUCUGCCCUCCGCAGGAACAACUGUCCCCUUGACUCCCAGUCUGGGUGACCCC